rnacentral:rRNA from 1 species
UGACGCACACCAACGUUUACGUGCAGGCAAAUUGAUUGGGUAGGAGAGCCAUAUAUUAUUAUAGGUGGUGCUAUUUAGCCUAACGAAUAUAACAGCGCUUUUAUAAUAUUCCUAGCGCUAACUAAAUUCCUGUCGUUAUAUAAUACCAAGAUUUUACUAAUUAUUUAAUGCAAUA